rnacentral:rRNA from 1 species
GACGAACGCUGGCGGCGUGCUUAACACAUGCAAGUCGAACGGAAAGGCCCUGCUUUUGUGGGGUGCUCGAGUGGCGAACGGGUGAGUAACACGUGAGUAACCUGCCCUUGACUUUGGGAUAACUUCAGGAAAAUGGGGCUAAUACCGGCUAGGAGCUCCUGAUGCAUGGUGGGGGUUGGAAAGUUUCGGCGGUUGGGGAUGGACUCGCGGCUUAUCAGCUUGUUGGUGGGGUAGUGGCUUACCAAGGCUUUGACGGGUAGCCGGCCUGAGAGGGUGACCGGCCACAUUGGGACUGAGAUACGGCCCAGACUCCUACGGGAGGCAGCAGUGGGGAAUAUUGCACAAUGGGCGGAAGCCUGAUGCAGCAACGCCGCGUGCGGGAUGACGGCCUUCGGGUUGUAAACCGCUUUCGCCUGUGACGAAGCGUGAGUGACGGUAAUGGGUAAAGAAGCACCGGCUAACUACGUG